UAACUGGGAUUCAAGUUCUGCCUCUAAGAGU
rnacentral:piRNA from 1 species